rnacentral:sRNA from 1 species
GUUCCUUAUUUCCUUUGUGAAUCUGCAACUCUACUUGUGUCCAUGGUGUCGAAUCUGGCGCUUCUCUAGUGCUUCUAAGACGUGGACAAUGUCUUCUUCUGUGUCUGGAAACAAGGGCGUGUCUGGCCCAAAUAAGUGUGUCUGACACUGCGUUGUGCACACACUUGACAGGUGUCCAUAUCCGCACACAUCUGAAGGGAAACACAGCUCAAAGGCCAUGUCGGAGCUUCAUAGGUUGUAUUUGGGUUUAUUUCAUGAAAGAUAGGUCUAAACUAUUGAAAUUUUUUGAGAUUUAAUUACUGAAAUUAAAAACCAAUUUGGCCAAGUAAUCAAGAUCUUAGGGGGUGAUAAUGCCAAAGAAUUUU